GCCACACUGGGACUGAGACACGGCCCAGACUCCUACGGGAGGCAGCAGUGGGGAAUAUUGCACAAUGGGCGCAAGCCUGAUGCAGCAACGCCGCGUGAGGGAUGACGGCCUUCGGGUUGUAAACCUCUUUUAGCAGGGAAGAAGCGAAAGUGACGGUACCUGCAGAAAAAGCGCCGGCUAACUACGUGCCAGCAGCCGCGGUAAUACGUAGGGCGCAAGCGUUAUCCGGAAUUAUUGGGCGUAAAGAGCUCGUAGGCGGUUUGUCGCGUCUGCUGUGAAAUCCGGAGGCUCAACCUCCGGCCUGCAGUGGGUACGGGCAGACUAGAGUGCGGUAGGGGAGAUUGGAAUUCCUGGUGUAGCGGUGGAAUGCGCAGAUAUCAGGAGGAACACCGAUGGCGAAGGCAGAUCUCUGGGCCGUAACUGACGCUGAGGAGCGAAAGGGUGGGGAGCAAACAGGCUUAGAUACCCUGGUAGUCC
rnacentral:rRNA from 4 species